AUGUUGUCCCGGGAACAUUCUCAGAGAAAGCCAGCACACUGUCCCUCAGGCCAUCUACUAUGGCUUGGCGCUGACGAGCAAUCCCAAGGCCUGCUAGGUACUUUGAUUCUGCAUCCCCUUCUGCUCGCUUUAUCUGCAAUAUCUUCUCUGCUUCAGCUUUCUCAUUUGCAGCCACCCUCAAUCUUGCAGCUAUUUGUAAUGGUAAAAGAACAAUGUAAAGGGUGAGUGAUCAGGAAUAAUAGAUAAAAGCAUGCAUCAAAUAAUUUUUUGUUCAAACAAUGUAAAUUUUUAGCCUAGUGUAUGUAAGUAUAUGCAAGGUUGGGUAUUUAAGAAUUAAGGUGGUACUGACAAGUAUAAGAAAGUAAUUGUUCAGGAUAGUGAUGCUAAUGACUUAAUGACAUCAGGAAUUUAGGAAGUAUAUUCUAUAACGAAAAGUGAUUCACUGUUCAGAGUUGUUAGCUGCAUGAAGAGUCUGGGCUUUGGUCUAAUAUGUUUAUGUAUGCAUAUAGUCCAACUAACUCAUUUCUAAGGUAAUACAGCUUUAGUCAUAUAAUAAUGACUUGAAAAGAAACUCUACAAUCAAAACCUCUCACCUAGGAUAUCCCCGGACACCAAACUAAACUAACAUUUAAAUUUUUUUCAAUGCUUGAAAUGGAAAUAUGAAUAACUCUAUAACUGAAGCAAAAACAUGAACAUCUAGAAAACAUACCAGCAUUAAUCUCAUUCAUGGCUCUCUUCACAUGCUCAUCUGGCUCAAUAUCCACAAUAAGCGUCUGAACUAUCUCAUACCCAUAAGCUGACAUAGCCUAGAAAGUAAAAGCAAACAGAUUAAGCAUGUCUUACUCCACUCUGAAUUUAAAAUGACAGGGAUACCUUUUCAAGUUCUUCCUCCACUGCUUUUGCAAUUUCAUUCUUCUGCUCAAAAGUAGCAUCUAGUUCCAUCUUUGGAACACUUGCUCUGAUAACUGAAAUAACAACAGAGUAAAUAAGUUUUAACGUGAAGAUGCACACAUAAACCUAAUUACUUUGAAGCAGAUUCGCAAAUCACAACACAGGAUCUAAAAUAGCCACCAUCAAAGACAUAGGACUGAAUCUGUGAUCUGGUAUUGCUGAGUUUGUAGUAAGCAUCCACUGCCUUUUCUGCCAAUGCUCGAUAUUGGAUAGAAGCAACCACAGUCACAAAGACAUUGUCCUGAUGGAAUGCAUUACAACAAGUUCAGUCAAAAAUUCCAGCCAAUAAUCAGGAUGCGUAUACAUGCAAUCAUUUGUAGGAAAAAUGAUGACCAAACAAUAUGCCAACACAUCAAUGAUCAAUGAUAUCCUUCUUCAUUCCAAGUGUAGAUAAUGGACUGGCCACCAACCUUGUUCUGAAAGUAAACUUUAAUACUAGACCACUUGCUUAGGGAUACACUAAUCGCAUGAUACGAACAUUAUAUAUAGAAACAAAUGUGAAACACUUUAAUCCUUCUAUUUAUAAGAUGGAAAGACUAAAAUGUAUCCUAUAUUCCUGUUUGUAUAUACUUGAAUUUAUAUGCAAUGGCAAUGUGGUUUUAUCAGUGUCAAGUGUCAACCAAUUAGAAAUCGUUCUAAACAAUAUUUUAAAGGUUAAUCAUAAAAGGAGGAAUCCAUAUGCUUGUGGCGUUAUCAUCCUAUAAUAAUUAGAGUUUCACAUCUAUAUUUCACGUAAUAAAGAUCAACAUAGAAUACCAAGGUGAAAAUUCAAUUGUGAUCAGAGAACAGCACCAAAAUACUGAUAGGAGAACAACACCAAAAUAACUGAGAAAUUGCAUGUGAGUGGAAGAAACAAACCUUAGUCUUGGUUUCACAGCGAACAUCUAGCUGUUUGACACGCAAAGAAAGAGCACCAGCCACACGACUGCCGAAACACCAUGGAACACAGUGGCAACCAGGUUCGAGAACAUCAUCGUACUUCCCGAAAACCUCCUUGAUGGCCAAACUUGACUGAUCCACUUGCACGCAACCUAACACUUGUCCCAUUUUCAGUAUUAAACCCCCUCAACAGAUCAAAACACCUAAACAACACACCAACAUAACUAUAAUACAUCAAUUGAUCAUGCUCAAUGCUCAAAAGAAUAAUAAUAAUAAUAAUAAAAACAUGAUUUUUUUUGUUGCAAGAAAGAAAAUAAAGAAGAGUUAUUUGGCGUUUGAUUUUGAAAGAAAGCGCACUCACCUUGAUAAUGAGAACUUGAAUUUGAUAAUAGCAAAGAGAGUGUCAAUGAAAAUUGAAAAGAAAAGAUGAUGAUAAUUAUACUUAUAGGGAGGGAGUUAGAAAUUAAGAGGAAAAGAGAAGGAAAGUGGGAGCGAAGGAAUAAGGUAAAGUAAUGGCAGUGAUAAAGCAGCUUCGCAAGGUUUUCAGUUUUCAGAAUCCAAAUGCACCAAAAUAGUAAAAUACAACGCACCUUGUCAUCGUCGUUACCGCGUCGUUCUACCGCGAAAGGAGGCAAAGCGUGGAUUGAUAAUGAUACUAUACUACUCCCUCUGAUUUUUACUAUAAUAUUAAUUAUUUUUUAUUUAUAUUCUUUAUAUUGAUAUGACCUAAAAAAAUUAAAAAUCAAUUUAAUGAUUAUAAGAAUAAUUUUGUAAAAUUGUUAUUCUAUUUUAUCUAUUUAUUAGUUUUCUGCAAAAUAAUUUAGGAUAACAAUUAAGAUGGGACUGUGGGAGUAAUGUAGUAAUAUUUUUUAGUUUUAAUGAUAUUAUUGAAUCAUUUAAAAUUAAGAUAUCAUAUAACCUAGUUUUGAUAAAUGUUUUCCUAAAUUAGCUUCAGGACAAAUCUGAUUUUGACUUAAAAUAAAUUAUAGUAGUUUUUUGUUAAAUAAAAAAGUAUAUACUUCAUUUUUUUGUUGACUUGUAUUUUUUAAAAUAAAAAUAUUCAAAUAUAAAUUCCUUCACUUGAGAUUUCUUUCAUCUUUUAUCUAUCUUUAUAUAUAUUUAUCAUUUUCCGUGAAUAAAAAUGUUUUUAAAAUUUAUUCUUGAUUGAGGAAAAAGAUUCAACCCUAUUUUUAGUGAGUAAACGAACCAACUCAAUAAAUUUAACCCAUUUUAUCAUCUCUGAUUAAAGGGAACAAUUAAUUAGUCAGUGAGCGAAAUUAACCUCCUUCAUACCUCAUUAUUAUCCUAUGUGUAUAAAUACUGCAGGGAGCAAUUAAGUAAGUGACGAUAGCAAAAUGAACCCUUAAAUUUCCAUACCUCAUUACAAUCCUAUAUCUAUAAAUAACAUAGAUCAAUCUUCACGGAAAAUGCUUUCUUUAGGGUUAUUCUGCUAUAAUUCUCACUAGGGAUGGAGUGUUUCUUUACUAAAACACUUCCUUCAUUCAUUGCAUCUCUAAAAAGAAGAACCACGAUCCAUCUAAAUUUGUAACUCCUCACGAACCAACGCACACAUCAAUUAUAUCACAAUAUAUUUAUUAUUCAUUUAAUGAUCUUCAUAUUUUUGUAUUAUUUAACAAAUUAGCGUUCUUCUUAAGAGAAGUAAUCAUAAUCAUUCAUAAGUAUGAUCUUUAAAUUCUAGAAGGUAAAAUGAAAAUUUACUCUUUUUGUAAUAUGUUUUCACGGUUUCACCUAGCCUGGCCAAUUCAAUAGAUAUACACCCGAAUCAUGGAAGGUUGUAAUCAAUCGUCAAGGCUUAGUAUUAAUAGUUUAAUACUUAUAUUGCGGACAUGUUCCAUGAGUUUAGGAAGAAACUCUGAUAAAUUGAAAUCAUGCAUACGCGUGGGUAUGUAAUUAUAUUAUAUUUAAUGAGAUAUCAUAAAAGUUGAAGAUUCAUAAUAGUGGAUAAAAUUAAGAAAGUUGCCAUGGUUGAUUAGGAAGACCAUAUACAUAUAGAAGGCAUUAGUUGCCAACUUGCCAUGGAUGAUUCAUAAUAGUAGCAUAUAUAAAGAUUUAGUUGCAAAGCUAAACUACAAGUGCCUGGAGGAGGAAAUCAUGGUAUGAUGAUAUAUGUGUAUGUCUUCAAGACUCUGUUGUUGCAUUUCCUUGGAGAAGACCAUUCCUUACUUGUGAAGCAACAUCACUCACAGCACCAGGUCCAUGUGGAAUGAAAACAGCAUUGGAUUUGGAGGAUGCACCAAUCUCCUUCAUUGUGUCAAAAUAUUGAGUCAUGAGAACCAUGUCCAUGAUAUCCUUUGAUGAUGUUCCAGGCACAUUACCAGAAAAUGCUAGAACACUGUCUCUUAGCCCAUCAACUAUGGCUUGGCGCUGACGAGAAACUCCAAGGCCUGCUAGGUACUUUGAUUCUGCAUCCCCUUCUGCUCGCUUUAUCUGCAUUAUUUUCUCUGCUUCAGCUUUGUCGUUUGUAGCCACCCUCAAUCUUGCAGCUAUAAUUUGUAAUGGUAAAAGAACAAUGUAAAGAGUGAUCAGGAAGAAAAAAAAAUGCAUCAAAUAAUUUUUUGUUCAAACUAGAUAAUGCUUUAGCUUGUAAGUAUAUGCAAGGUUGUGUAUUAAUUUAAGGUGGCACCAACUUAAUUGUGUACAUGCAAGGUUAUGUAUAUAAGAAAGUAAUUGUUCAGGAUAAUGAUGCUAAUGACAUCAGGAAUUUGUAAAAGUAUUCUAUGAUGAAAAAUGAAUCACAAUUUAGAAUGUUAGCUUCAUGAAAGUCUAGGCUUUUGUCUAAUAUGCUUAAAUAUGUAAAAGGUCCAACUUGUUUCUAAGAUGUAUUAUUGCUUUGGUUAUAUAAUGACAAGGAAUUGAGAAAACUCUCCAAUCAAAACCUUAAUUUCAGCAACGAAAUCUCCAGACACCACACUAAAUUCUAGCAUUUAUUUUGUUAGCAUGCUUAAAAAGGAAAUACGAAUAACUCAAAUUGAAGCAAGAACAUAAAACUGUAGGAAACAUACCAGCAUUAAUCUCAUUCAUGGCUUUCUUCACAUGCUCAUCCGGCACAAUAUCCACAAUAAGAGUCUGAACUAUCUCGUACCCAU
rnacentral:lncRNA from 1 species